GAUGAACGCUAGCUACAGGCUUAACACAUGCAAGUCGAGGGGAAACGGCAUUUAGUGCUUGCACCGAAUGGACGUCGACCGGCGCACGGGUGAGUAACGCGUAUCCAACCUACCCAUUACUGUGGGAUAACCUGCCGAAAGGCAGACUAAUACCGCAUAGUCUUCGAUGACGGCAUCAGAUUUGAAGUAAAGAUUUAUCGGUAAUGGAUGGGGAUGCGUCUGAUUAGCUUGUUGGCGGGGUAACGGCCCACCAAGGCAACGAUCAGUAGGGGUUCUGAGAGGAAGGCCCCCCACAUUGGAACUGAGACACGGUCCAAACUCCUACGGGAGGCAGCAGUGAGGAAUAUUGGUCAAUGGGCGCGAGCCUGAACCAGCCAAGUAGCGUGCAGGAUGACGGCCCUAUGGGUUGUAAACUGCUUUUGUAUGGGGAUAAAGUCAAUCACGUGUGAUUGUUUGCAGGUACCAUACGAAUAAGGACCGGCUAAUUCCGUGCCAGCAGCCGCGGUAAUACGGAAGGUCCGGGCGUUAUCCGGAUUUAUUGGGUUUAAAGGGAGCGUAGGCCGGAGAUUAAGUGUGUUGUGAAAUGUAGACGCUCAACGUCUGACUUGCAGCGCAUACUGGUUUCCUUGAGUACGCACAACGUUGGCGGAAUUCGUCGUGUAGCGGUGAAAUGCUUAGAUAUGACGAAGAACUCCGAUUGCGAAGGCAGCUGACGGGAGCGCAACUGACGCUUAAGCUCGAAGGUGCGGGUAUCGAACAGG
rnacentral:rRNA from 1 species